rnacentral:rRNA from 1 species
AGCGAACGCUGGCGGCAGGCUUAACACAUGCAAGUCGAGCGGGCACUCCGGGGUCAGCGGCAGACGGGUGAGUAACCCGUGGGAACGUACCCUUUGGUUCGGAAUAACGCUGGGAAACUGGCGCUAAUACCGGAUACGCCCUUUUGGGGAAAGGCUUGCUGCCGAAGGAUCGGCCCGCGUCUGAUUAGCUAGUUGGUGGGGUAAUGGCCUACCAAGGCGACGAUCAGUAGCUGGUCUGAGAGGAUGAUCAGCCACACUGGGACUGAGACACGGCCCAGACUCCUACGGGAGGCAGCAGUGGGGAAUAUUGGACAAUGGGCGCAAGCCUGAUCCAGCCAUGCCGCGCGAGUGAUGAAGGCCUUAGGGUUGUAAAGCUCUUUUGUCCGGGACGAUAAUGACGGUACCGGAAGAAUAAGCCCCGGCUAACUUCGUG